rfam:Pristionchus pacificus strain PS312 contig9186, whole genome shotgun sequence.
GGGGGUAUAGCUCAGUGGUUAGAGCACACGCAUACGUAUCGGAAGGUCGGGGGUUCGACUCCCUCUGCCUCCA